ACGCUGAAGCCACAGUAGAGACACAUAUUUUUUUCUACAUAUAUAUUUUACAAAAAUCUAAAACGAAAAUAUAGAGGGAGCCAACAGAAAAUGAUUUCAAAAAUAGAUACAGAAAAGGAAGAGAUUCAGAAACACACAAUGGAGCAAAUACAUACACUACGCUAACGCAAUUCAGGCCUAGUACACUCGAAUCCAUGCUGAAAUCAAACCAACGAGAGGACUCGACGCGAGAUCUCCCCGCAACAUUACAACAAAUGGAUCCCCCACAAGCAGAAAAAAAAACAAGCCAUAAACGCUAGCACAGAUUUGUCUAUCCUAAAAGCUCAGAUUCCUCCGACCGGGCGGCAUUGCUCCCUGAACCCGAGCGAAGCAAAACCACCUCGGAGCGAGCACUCGAGCUCAAGGUGCGAGCGAGGCAACAGCGCGGCAGGCAUUGCGGCGAAUCGAGCGAGAGCAAACGCGGGGGAGAGAGGGUGGCGAGCCCAGAUCCGGGGCCAGGCAGAUCCGCACCUCGGGAG
rnacentral:lncRNA from 1 species